AGGGGGUUUCUUCCUCAUCAGAGUCAUCCGUCAAAAAUUGUUGCCAUAUAUCUAUUUCUCUGUCUUCAGGAAUGAUGAAGUCGGUUUCAUCAUAAUCUAGAUCUUGAAUUACAUUUAAAUCAUUUACAUCUAUAACAUCUUCAAUACCUGGAUUAUCUACUAUUACGGCAGGGAUGGCAAUCUGUUGAUGAACUUGUAUUUCUUCUUCAGAGCCUAAUAAGUAACAUACUUUCAACUUCAUCUUCCCAAUUCAACUCUCUUGCUAAAUAAUGUUCUGUGGCAUGAGAGCACUGAAGAAGAAAUUCUCUUAUUGUAAUGGCACCUGUUGUAAAUAACGCAGUGGAAUUUUUGAUUCUCACCGAAUUUAAAAUAUAUUUCAUUUUAAUGGAUCGAGUCGUUGGCAAGCCCCUAGCCAGUUGUCCAACAAUGAUGUGCUGCUUGAUAGAAAUUUUGUUGAGAUGUUCUAUAUGACAAACAUUUUUAUUAGUUAUUUAACAAAAACAAAUGCCUGAUUAAUCGAAAAUCUGUUACAUAUAGUUACAAAUUACAAUAAGAAGAUGAGUGGAGUGUACGUAGUAGCCAGUAGGUGAACAUAGGCAUGAUUGAAGACGAUAUUCAUUGAUUACACUUCGAGGUUUGGAUGCUGGACCUGAAAAGUUUGCUUAAGGGACGAAUGAAAACUUUCCACAUUGUUAUUAGUACGGCGUGGUUGGCCAUGUACCGAAAAACAUUCGGGUCCCUUUCUGAUAAUCCAAAAGCUA